rnacentral:rRNA from 1 species
GAUGAACGCUGGCGGCGUGCCUAAUACAUGCAAGUCGAGCGAAGCGGGGACGGGUGAGUAAAACGUGGAUAACCUCCUAUAAGACUGGGAUCAAUUCGGGAAAACGGAGAUAAACCGGAUAAUUAUAAAUGGAUCCGCGCUGCAUUAGCUAGUUGGUAAGGUAACGGCUUACCAAGGAAACGAUGCAUAGCAGACCUGAGAGGGUGAUCGGACACACUGGAACUGAGACACGGUCCAGACUCCAACGGGAGGCAGCAGUAGGGAAUCUUCCGCAAUGGGCGAAAGCCUGACGGAGCAACGCCGCGUGAGUGAUGAAGGUCUUCGGAUCGUAAAACUCUGUUAUUAGGGAAGCGGUACCUAAUCAGAAAGCCACGGCUAACUACGUGCCAGCAGCCGCGGUAAUUC